rnacentral:pre_miRNA from 1 species
CGCAAGCACAGACUAGCAUGCCCCAGGCAUCUAUGGGAGAGUAUCUCUUUGAGUGCCUCACUCUCAAGCACGGCUAGGAGG